rnacentral:rRNA from 1 species
GAAAGGGCUAACGAGUAGAUCCCUCUAUCAACUCUACUAAAUAAAAUUUUCACGUAAGUUAAAAGACUAACACAAAAUAAAGUGACGACAAGACCCUGACAAACUUAACAUCACGUUUAGCUGGGGCAGCUAAUAAAUUACACCUUAAUCCCAUAGCCCAAUAAGCCUAAAACAAGAAAAUAAAAGUUACUGCAGGGAUAACAGCAUAACAUAAUUUAAAAGCUCACAUUAAAAAUUAUAACUAUGACCUCGAUGUUGAAUAAUCUCCCAUAAUAAAGCAAAACUUAUUACCGUGUGUCUGUUCGACACUUAAAAGAUUACA